GGGUUGUGAGGUUAAGCGACUAAGCGUACACGGUGGAUGCCCUGGCAGUCAGAGGCGAUGAAGGACGUGCUAAUCUGCGAAAAGCGCCGGCGAGGUGAUAUGAACCCUUGACCCGGCGAUGUCCGAAUGGGGAAACCCAGUGCAAUCCGUUGCACUAUCGUUAACUGAAUACAUAGGUUAACGAGGCGAACCGGGGGAACUGAAACAUCUAAGUACCCCGAGGAAAAGAAAUCAACCGAGAUUCCCCCAGUAGCGGCGAGCGAACGGGGAGCAGCCCAGAGUCUGAAUCAGCUUGUGUGUUAGUGGAAGCGUCUGGAAAGUCGCACGGUACAGGGUGAAAGUCCCGUACACGAAAACGCACAGGCUGUGAACUCGAAGAGUAGGGCGGGACACGUGGUAUCCUGUCUGAAUAUGGGGGGACCAUCCUCCAAGGCUAAAUACUCCUGACUGACCGAUAGUGAACCAGUACCGUGAGGGAAAGGCGAAAAGAACCCCGGCGAGGGGAGUGAAAAAGAACCUGAAACCGUGUACGUACAAGCAGUGGGAGCACCUUCGGGUGUGACUGCGUACCUUUUGUAUAAUGGGUCAGCGACUUAUAUUCUGUAGCAAGGUUAACCGUAUAGGGGAGCCGAAGGGAAACCGAGUCUUAACUGGGCGUUAAGUUGCAGGGUAUAGACCCGAAACCCGGUGAUCUAGCCAUGGGCAGGUUGAAGGUUGGGUAACACUAACUGGAGGACCGAACCGACUAAUGUUGAAAAAUUAGCGGAUGACCUGUGGCUGGGGGUGAAAGGCCAAUCAAACCGGGAGAUAGCUGGUUCUCCCCGAAAGCUAUUUAGGUAGCGCCUCGUGAACUCAUCUUCGGGGGUAGAGCACUGUUUCGGCUAGGGGGCCAUCCCGGCUUACCAACCCGAUGCAAACUACGAAUACCGAAGAAUGUUAUCACGGGAGACACACGGCGGGUGCUAACGUCCGUCGUGAAGAGGGAAACAACCCAGACCGCCAGCUAAGGUCCCAAAGUCAUGGUUAAGUGGGAAACGAUGUGGGAAGGCCCAGACAGCCAGGAUGUUGGCUUAGAAGCAGCCAUCAUUUAAAGAAAGCGUAAUAGCUCACUGGUCGAGUCGGCCUGCGCGGAAGAUGUAACGGGGCUAAACCAUGCACCGAAGCUGCGGCAGCGACGCUUAUGCGUUGUUGGGUAGGGGAGCGUUCUGUAAGCCGUUGAAGGUGGCCUGUGAGGGUUGCUGGAGGUAUCAGAAGUGCGAAUGCUGACAUAAGUAACGAUAAAGCGGGUGAAAAGCCCGCUCGCCGGAAGACCAAGGGUUCCUGUCCAACGUUAAUCGGGGCAGGGUGAGUCGACCCCUAAGGCGAGGCCGAAAGGCGUAGUCGAUGGGAAACAGGUUAAUAUUCCUGUACUUGGUGUUACUGCGAAGGGGGGACGGAGAAGGCUAUGUUAGCCGGGCGACGGUUGUCCCGGUUUAAGCAUGUAGGCGGAGGUUCCAGGUAAAUCCGGUACCUUUUAACGCUGAGGUGUGAUGACGAGGCACUACGGUGCUGAAGUAACAAAUGCCCUGCUUCCAGGAAAAGCCUCUAAGCAUCAGGUAACAUCAAAUCGUACCCCAAACCGACACAGGUGGUCAGGUAGAGAAUACCAAGGCGCUUGAGAGAACUCGGGUGAAGGAACUAGGCAAAAUGGUGCCGUAACUUCGGGAGAAGGCACGCUGAUAUGUAGGUGAAGCCCCUGCGGGUGGAGCUGAAAUCAGUCGAAGAUACCAGCUGGCUGCAACUGUUUAUUAAAAACACAGCACUGUGCAAACACGAAAGUGGACGUAUACGGUGUGACGCCUGCCCGGUGCCGGAAGGUUAAUUGAUGGGGUUAGCGGUAACGCGAAGCUCUUGAUCGAAGCCCCGGUAAACGGCGGCCGUAACUAUAACGGUCCUAAGGUAGCGAAAUUCCUUGUCGGGUAAGUUCCGACCUGCACGAAUGGCGUAAUGAUGGCCAGGCUGUCUCCACCCGAGACUCAGUGAAAUUGAACUCGCUGUGAAGAUGCAGUGUACCCGCGGCAAGACGGAAAGACCCCGUGAACCUUUACUAUAGCUUGACACUGAACACUGGUCCUUGAUGUGUAGGAUAGGUGGGAGGCUUUGAAGCGUGGACGCCAGUCUGCGUGGAGCCAUCCUUGAAAUACCACCCUUUAAUGGCUGGUGUUCUAACGUAGACCCGUAAUCCGGGUUGCGGACAGUGUCUGGUGGGUAGUUUGACUGGGGCGGUCUCCUCCCAAAGAGUAACGGAGGAGCACGAAGGUUAGCUAAUCCUGGUCGGACAUCAGGAGGUUAGUGCAAUGGCAUAAGCUAGCUUGACUGCGAGAGUGACGGCUCGAGCAGGUGCGAAAGCAGGUCAUAGUGAUCCGGUGGUUCUGAAUGGAAGGGCCAUCGCUCAACGGAUAAAAGGUACUCCGGGGAUAACAGGCUGAUACCGCCCAAGAGUUCAUAUCGACGGCGGUGUUUGGCACCUCGAUGUCGGCUCAUCACAUCCUGGGGCUGAAGUAGGUCCCAAGGGUAUGGCUGUUCGCCAUUUAAAGUGGUACGCGAGCUGGGUUUAGAACGUCGUGAGACAGUUCGGUCCCUAUCUGCCGUGGGCGCUGGAGAAUUGAGGGGGGCUGCUCCUAGUACGAGAGGACCGGAGUGGACGCAUCACUGGUGUUCGGGUUGUCAUGCCAAUGGCACUGCCCGGUAGCUAAAUGCGGAAGAGAUAAGUGCUGAAAGCAUCUAAGCACGAAACUUGCCCCGAGAUGAGUUCUCCCUGAGACUUAAAGUCUCCUGAAGGAACGUUGAAGACGACGACGUUGAUAGGUCGGGUGUGUAAGCGCAGCGAUGCGUUGAGCUAACCGAUACUAAUGAACCGUGAGGCUUAACCUUACAACGCCGAAG
rnacentral:rRNA from 1 species